GCGGCCGCGGAGGCGCGCAGUGGCGGGGGGAGGGGGCUCUACGGGGUGGCCGGUCCUGCUGCCGUUGCCACUGCUACCGCCGCUGCCAUAUUGGGUUCUUACUGUACAGGCAGCCGCUGUGGUCAUGUGACCCCGCGCGCGCGCGCAGCCGUCACUACUGUACGCAGCAGGCCGCGCGAACGAGCGCGCACUCGCGCGCGCCCCCAGCCUCGGCGCCAGAGCCCGCAGCUGCAGCAGUUAGCCACGCCCCCGCACUUCCGGUCGCAGGGCCUCGCGCGCUUGCGCACGUCGGAGGGCCGCCCCUGGUCCGUGGGUCGGAUAUCUGGCGGUCACACCCAGCGCGAAGAUCUGCGGGCGGAAACGGAAUCUGCUCCUUCCGGGAAAGGCUGGCUGCGCGGUUGCGUGCAGCGUGUGUUGAGGAGCAGCUCUGGAAACUUAAAGAGCCCGACGAUCAAGUGAUCUUGCCAACUACCAUUUUAAUCAACUUCAUGUUUUAUUUUGUUGUGGUGGUACAGAGCCCAAUGCAAGCCCUGGCAGAUGUCUUCAACACCAGAGUGACACUCAGGCCAGGAUUGAGGGCUGGAAGCACAGGGGCAAGAAAUACCUUUGAAACACUCCAGUGCCCAAAUUGCUCACUGGUGUUUCUGCCUUGUGAGCCAGGGCACGAGGCUUUGUUUGGGUCACUACUUUUCAUUCCUUCCAAGAUGGACAAGAUGUUUGUUUUGUGCACAGAAUAGAUCAGUGUCUUGAACAUGCUACGCAAGCCCCCUAACAGCCAAGCGAUUCCAGCAGCUCUACAGACACCCUUUCACUGAGCAGUUAUUUCUCCUCAGAUGUUCUGAUUGCUGUGGGCAGCCUCCAAACACUUUGAAAAAGCUGGAGAGAAAGGUAAACUUGAAAAGGGGAAUGCAAGAUAGAGGAGGCAAAGGGAGAGAAGCAGGCUCAACUGUGUUCAUCUCAACAGGGCUGGGGCCUGCAGGCUGCUGGCAGCACCAAGCUAAGGUGCAUUUCCACUCAACGGAAAGACCUCCAUCCUAAACCAAGGGGACAGAGGUUAAUGCUUUAUAUAUAUUUAUAUAUUUAUAUAUUACAUAUGUCCCAUAUGUAUAAAGUGACAAGAAUGGGCCACUUUGUGUAACUUUAAUUAAAGGACAUAGCAACAGACAUAGAAAUUUGAUCCUAAUUAAGGCCCUUACUUUGUCAAUCAAAUGUCUGAUACAGUAAAAGAAACUGGAGAAAGACAGAGACUGAGAUCCAGCCUCCUCUGGUAGCCCUGUCUCCAGGUUAUCUUACAUUGAGUGUCGUGCCCCCUGUACAGGUAAACAAACACACACAUAAACACACACGUACAAUACCACAGGCAGGAGCACCUCCUCUGACCACACCUUGGGCCCAGCCUUUGGCUGCGGUGCUGAAGUGGAGUAUAUUGUGCUAUAAGACUGAGGGUAGUGAACCAGACAAUGUGGAGUCAUUGUGUCCAAGUGAUGAAUGGGGUGACUCGUGCAGCUUCAUCUAUAAAUGACAGGUCAGGGGGAGGUCCCUCAAUGCCCAGAUCAUAUCAGGAGAUUUCUACACACAGCUCCUGUUCCAGAGAAAGCCAUUACUCUGAUUUGAAUCCUGAGUGUCAAUCACAGGGCUCUGACGGAAACCUAGGAUUCUCUUGAAGGGCAGGCAGCCACAAGGCUCAGCCAUUCAGUCCAGUAGAGCAGUAGAGAGUACAACAGUGGAGGCAAAGCAAGUGAUCCUCAGACAGGACCUUAACUGAUGCAAGACAAGACCCUGGAUGGUGCAAGAGGGGCUCGUAUCCCAAAAGGAGUAGAAGGGCCUGCUGCCCUUUGCCACACAAAACUUCUGGCAGAUCUGUCAGCUUCAUGCCUUCCAUAAGUAACAGACCUGCUCAUAAGCCAGGGAAGGAGACUCCCAACAUUAGGGCACUUGAAAUCCUAACUCCCUGUUUUCUCUCACUGAAAUUACCCACCACCACCUACCAAAAUAUACAUAUUGAAAAUAAGUCAACAUAUUUGGCAGUAUGAUUUUUAGUAUUAAGAGAAUUUCGGAAUUUUUCAUCCUGAUUUUACACUCAGUAAUAAUUAAGUAGUGAACUGUUAAAUGCUGACAGCAGUGCUUAGCAGCAGCUUCUGAGUAGCUUCAGGACUUGGAAAAGAUUUGACAUUGGGCUAGGCAUGAUGAUAACAUAUCUGUAAUCCCUGCACUCUAGAGGCAGAGGCAGGAGAAUAGCUGUAAGCUUCAUCCACUCUGGUCUACACAGUGUGUUCCAGGCCAGCCAGGGCUACUCAGAGAACCCUGUCUCAGAAUAAAGCAAAGCAACACAAAACAGCCCAGAUAGAGGACUAUGGGUUUGUUUUCCUUAGAGGCAUCAGAAACACAAUUAGGGAAGGAAUCCAAGUUAGUUGUAGAACAGCUAGAACUGGAUGGUUUUAAUUUAAACUUUUUAAUUUAUUAUUUAUUUUCUCUUUUUUGCUAUGGAGUCAAGGGAGACCUUGAACUCCUGAUUUAUCUGCCUCUGUCUCCCAGGUGCUGGGAUUAAAGGUGUGCAUGCACCACCAGACUCAGUCUAAACCCAACUGUAAGAAACUUAUUUCAUCUUUAGUUAUGUGUAUGUCUGUAUCUGUAGGAGGGUAUGUUCAUGUGUGCACAGGUCAAUGCAAAGGCCAUAGGAGAGUUCCAGAUCCCCUGGAAACCCACCGUGGGUCCCUCUGGAAGAGCAGCAAGUGCUAUUAACCACUGAACCAUCUCUCCAGCUUUGAAAAAUUUUUUAAUUAAGGUUUCAGUUUUAAAAUGGGCUAUCAUCACCGGCAAUAAUUCUACCUCAACCUGAGUGACUCCAAACAAUUUGUGUGGAAUUAAAUAUUAAAAAUAAAUACAUUUUAAAAAUAAAGACUGGGUAUCAUAGCUCACAUCUAUAGCCCCAGCACCUGGGAAGCUGAGGCAGGAAUAACUCAAUUUUGAGGCAAGGUGGGCCACAGAGUAAGUGAAUACUAGUAGCAAGCCAGGACCACACCUUAACAAAAAGAAAAAGAAAAAGAAAAGAAAAAGAAGAGGAAGCAGCCAGAUUGGCUCAGCAGUUAAGAGCAUAUAUUGCUCCUCCAGAAGACCUGAGUUCAAGUCCCAGCACUCACACCAGGUGACUCACAACCACCUGUGACUCCAGCUCCAGGGGUCCGUGCCUCAAUAAUAAAAAUAAAUCUUAAAAAAAUAUGUUUUAUCUUGCAUGUAAAAAAUAAAGGUCAAUGAAAAUUAACUUUUUAAAAUAGAAAUUUACUUCUCACUUGCAAUACCCAGAGACAUUUGGGGUGGUCACAAAGGGAGGUGAGGGAGGACCAAGUCACACAAGUAGUAAAGAAUGGAUGGAUCUUUCAACAGAAUAGUCCCCUCCCCCAAGAUGUGACUAAGAAAUAGGGGUAAAAGGUAAAUCUGGCAAAGA
rnacentral:lncRNA from 1 species